GGGGCUAUAGCUCAGUUGGUAGAGCGCUUGUAUGGCAUACAAGAGGUCGGGAGUUCAAUUCUCCCUAGCUCCA